rnacentral:rRNA from 1 species
CAUUAAAGAGUUCUAUAACUCCCAAACCCAUGUGAACAUACCUAACGUUGCCUCGGCAGGUCGCACCUACCUUGUAGCACCCUACCCUGUAGGGCCUACCCGGGAGGUGCGGGUAAGCCUGCCGGCGGCCCACCAAACUCUGUUUGAUAUUGAAUUCUGAACCUAUAACUAAAUAAGUUAAAACUUUCAACAACGGAUCUCUUGGUUCUGGCAUCGAUGAAGAACGCAGCGAAAUGCGAUAAGUAAUGUGAAUUGCAGAAUUCAGUGAAUCAUCGAAUCUUUGAACGCAUAUUGCGCCCAUUAGUAUUCUAGUGGGCAGGACCGUUCGAGCGUCAUUUCAACCCUUAAGCCUUCGUUGCUUAGUGUUGGGAGCCUACGGCAACGUAGCUCCUCAAAGUUAGUGGCGGAGUUGGUUCACACUCUAGACGUAGUAAUUUUUUAUCUCGCCUAUUAGUUGGACUAAUCCCCUGCCGUAAAACCCCCAAUUUAUCAAGGUUGACCUCGAAUCGGUUCAGACAAACUCGCUAAAUUGAAGCAUCUUAGUCAGCGAAGGAAAAGAAACCAACAGGGAUUGCCCUA